UUGUUUAAAGUCCGUUUGGUUACCGAGAAAGUGACUGAAAAGAAAACCAUAAGAUAGAAUCUUGUUUUUUUUGUUGAAAGCAUUUAUACACUAAUCUGUUUUUGACGUGUUUUCUCAAGUUUUCUGGCUAAUGAUCAGCUGGAGUGUUUUACACCAACGGUAGAAACGCUGUUGUAAAAUCUAUCUCUAGCAUUUUCUUUCUCUUUAUUGUAACUUCUCUUUUCUUCUUUUUUUGUUCUGAAAAUAAUUUCUAUAGGAAUUUGACAUUUUGGACUAUUCUCAGGUUACAUUAAGAGGGAAUAGCGAGAGCUUUUCAGAUUCAAAGCAAUUUAGUUUUUUAGCCUCGAGUUUGCUGACAUAAAAAGCAGCCUGACGUUUCUUUUAAGGCCCAACAUUUCAACAGGUUUUGCAGUUGUUGUCUCAGAAUUGCUGCCUCCCUUUGCCAAAACUGAAAAAUAAGAUUGAUACUAUGUGUAUGAAAAGUUGGAAAUGUAGAACUUCGCACAUCAUAUUUUCAGGUAUGCUUGUAAAUGUUUGGUCCAUCAAAUAGAAAUUUUUUUAA